rnacentral:rRNA from 1 species
GCUGGCGGCAGGCCUAACACAUGCAAGUCGAACGGAGUUAUAUUGUAGCUUGCUAUGGUAUAACUUAGUGGCAGACGGGUGAGUAAUGUAUAGGAAUCUACCUAGUAGUACGGAAUAAUUGUUGGAAACGGCAACUAAUACCGUAUACGCCCUACGGGGGAAAAAUUUAUUGCUAUUAGAUGAGCCUAUAUUAGAUUAGCUAGUUGGUGGAGUAAUAGCCUACCAAGGCAAUGAUCUAUAGCUGAUCUGAGAGGAUGAUCAGCCACACUGGAACUGAGAUACGGUCCAGACUCCUACGGGAGGCAGCAGUGGGGAAUAUUGGACAAUGGGCGAAAGCCUGAUCCAGCCAUGCCGCAUGAGUGAAGAAGGCCUUUGGGUUGUAAAGCUCUUUUAGUGAGGAAGAUAAUGACGGUACUCACAGAAGAAGUCCUGGCUAACUCCGUGCCAGCAGCCGCGGUAAUACGGAGAGGGCUAGCGUUAUUCGGAAUUAUUGGGCGUAAAGGGCGCGUAGGCGGAUUAGUAAGUUAAAAGUGAAAUCCCAAGGCUCAACCUUGGAAUUGCUUUUAAAACUGCUAAUCUAGAGAUUGAAAGAGGAUAGAGGAAUUCCUAGUGUAGAGGUGAAAUUCGUANAUAUUAGGAGGAACACCAGUGGCGAAGGCGUCUAUCUGGUUCAAAUCUGACGCUGAGGCGCGAAGGCGUGGGGAGCAAACAGGAUUAGAUACCCUGGUAGUCCACGCUGUAAACGAUGAAUGUUAAAUAUGGGAAGUUUUACUUUCUGUA